rnacentral:rRNA from 1 species
UACGUAGGGCGCAAGCGUUGUCCGGAAUUAUUGGGCGUAAAGGGUGCGUAGGCGGUUCCGCAAGUCCUGUGUGAAAUCUUCGGGCUCAACUCGAAGUCUGCACGGGAAACUGCGGGGCUUGAGUGUGGGAGAGGUGAGUGGAAUUCCCGGUGUAGCGGUGAAAUGCGUAGAUAUUCGGAAGAACACCAGUGGCGAAGGCGACUUACUGGACACAUAUUGACGCUGAGGUGCGAAAGCGUGGGGAGCAAACAGG